AUGCACGCUGGCGGCGUGCCUCAUACCUGCAAGUCGCGCGCACAGACGAGGAGCUUGCUCCUCUGACGUUAGCGGCGGACGGGUGAGUAACACGUGGAUAACCUACCUAUAAGACUGGGAUAACUUCGGGAAACCGGAGCUAAUACCGGAUAAUAUAUUGAACCGCAUGGUUCAAUAGUGAAAGACGGUUUUGCUGUCACUUAUAGAUGGAUCCGCGCCGCAUUAGCUAGUUGGUAAGGUAACGGCUUACCAAGGCAACGAUGCGUAGCCGACCUGAGAGGGUGAUCGGCCACACUGGAACUGAGACACGGUCCAGACUCCUACGGGAGGCAGCAGUAGGGAAUCUUCCGCAAUGGGCGAAAGCUUGACGGAGCAACGCCGCGUGAGUGAUGAAGGUCUUCGGAUCGUAAAACUCUGUUAUUAGGGAAGAACAAAUGUGUAAGUAACUAUGCACGUCUUGACGGUACCUAAUCAGAAAGCCACGGCUAACUACGUG
rnacentral:rRNA from 1 species